UUUUUUUUUUUUUUGAAUCAGUUUCUUCCUUCCAGUCUAAAUGUGUCUCUAUAGCUUCCUCCCAUUGCUCCUGGGUCUGCCCUCUGGGACCAAGGCAGAGCAAGUGUGAUCUCUUUUCCACAUGACAGCCCUUCAGAUAUUUGAAGGGAACAAACAUGUCCUACUUACAUCAUAGAACAUGUAUCUGGCAGAGAGAUCAUUGAAGUCCGACCUUUCAUUUGACACAGGUGGAAACUGAGGCCCAGAGAAGGGCCCCUCUGGCCCAUGGUCACAGUCAGGAGGCAUCAGAGCUAGGACUCACACCUGUGUCCUUGGACUCCAAAUAUGAGAGCCUUUCCACCGCACCACCCUGCCUCCCUCUUCUUCAGGACAAACGUUUCCAUUUUCUUCAACUGGCUCUUCACCGACCACAGAGGGUACGAUGUGCUCUGGGAAAGAGCCCCAGGUCUGAUGUGUGAUCACGUGUGAGGCUGCAGGGACAUCACACCAUAAGAUCUUUGACAGCCACUGUGGCUUGAGGGUGCUCACUUGGAAUUUCUGUGACCAGGAAGGCUGAGGCUGGUGGACCUCUUCAGGGCUGGAGUGCUGAACUGCAGUGGCCUACACUGAUCAGGUGUCUUCACUAAGUUCAAGAGUUGUCUUAGAGCUGGCUUCCAAGACAGGAAGAUCUGGGUUCAAGUCUUGCCUCUGACACAUACUCUCUGAGUCACACUGCACCAUUUCCUCUGGUUGAAAUGCCCUACCCCUAUGGCUCUGCCCGUCAAAAGUCUGCCUGUCCUUCAAGGCUGAGAUCAAAUACCACCUCCUCUAGGAAGCCUCCCCUGGAGAGGCAAUUUGGUGCAGUGAAAAGAGCACUGGAAUUGGCAUCAGGAGGGCCCCAGCUUUGCAACCAGCCUCUGAUGCUUUCUAGGAAUAUGAUCAUGGGUGCCGAGUGGCUCCAUGGUGGUUCUGAGAACUCUUUCCUGCCCGGGCUCUUGGUGGAAGCUCCUACCAUAGGAAGAAAGAGCCAGGAUCCUCUACCAGAGAAAGAGUCAGUCAGGCUCCCAGAGCAAGAGAGGCAGAGGAUGGAGCUAUGUGAAGGAAAAUUAUACCACCUAGCCCGUAACUAAUCCAACAGCUAAAACCAACCUACAAGAAGCUUUUCCUGGUCCCCCUUAAAGCUAGUGUCUUCCCUCUACAGAUUACCUCCAGUUUACUCUACACAUAUCCUACAUACACAUAGUUAUAUACAUGUUGUCCCUCCCAUUAGACUGUGAGCUCCUUGAGGGCAGGAAUUAUUUUUGCCUUUCUUUGCAUCCUUGGCAUUUAGCACAGUACCUAGAACAUAGCAGGUGCUUAAUAAAUGGUUGUUGACCUGACUUGACUUGAUAUAGGAAAAGAUAUCUGUUAUUCUCCAAAGCAUAUGACUGUAGGACCGUGACAGUGUUUCAUUAUGAUUCUGGGUAUUUGGUGCAAGAGGGAACUCUGUAGCUGGAGUGGGAGUGUAGCACUGAGCUUGGUGCUUUCAAGGGAAAGUCCUACUCCCUUGCAUGGCUUUCACGGUGAACAUGAGCACUAUCGAGACUUUGGAUGUGGUAUGCGGGAGCUUCUUAUCUCUGGAAGGAAAUAGAACAUAAAGCAACAUCUGAGUGGUGACAGAUCAUUUCACCCAGUGUGCACUGUGUGCGUAUCCUAUUUUACCAGGGACCAGAAAAUAACCUCUGGAUUGCAAAUGCCCUCAGGACAGAGUUCAGAUUUCUCUCUUCUAGAUAUUCUCUUUAGUUUUUUUCCCCCCCUAGGUUUUCAUAACACUGCUCUCUCCUGGUUCUCUUACCUGUCUGACCACUCCUUUUCAGUCUCCUUUGCUAGAUCUUCAUCCACAUCAGGUCCAAAGGCUGUAGGUGUCUCCCAUGAUGUUGCCCUGGGUCCUCUUUUCUUCUCUCAUACUAUCUCAGUUGUUGAUCUCAUCAUGGGAUCUACUGCCUUCUCUAUGCAGAAGAUUCCCAGAUCUAUAUAUCCAUUCCCAGUCUUACCAAACUUUAGUUACAUAUCAUCAACUGCCUCUUGGACCUCUUGAACUGAACGGCCCAAAGGCAUCUCAAAAUCAACAUUUGUAAAACAGAAUUCAUUUUCUUUCUCCCCACCUCCCCCUUCCCAACUUCCCUAUUGCUAUCAAGGGCACUGCCAUCUCCCCAGUCCCACAACCCAGUCCUGCCCUCUUGUUACUACCCUUGACUCCUCAUUCUCACUCAUCCCACGUUUCCAAUCAGUUGACAAAUUUUGUCAUUUCUACUUUCCCAGAUUACUUUCUCCUCCCUCUUCCUUCACAGCAUCUCUUAUAUAAGUCCUCCCUUCUCUAUUGACAAAGCGACUACCCUACUCUGAGCCCUUAUCACUUAGACUAUUGCUUUGCUACUGUUCUGUCAUUUCACUUAUGUCUGACUCUUUGUGACCCCAUUUGGGGUUCUCUUGGCAAAGAUACUGGAGUAGGUCACCAUUUCCUUCUGCACCUAGACUAUUGCAAAAGCCUUCUAAUUAGUGUCACUGCCUUAAGCCUCACCCUAUUCCAAUCUAUCUUCUAUUCAGCUACCAAAGUGAUUUCCCUAAAGGGUCGGUCACCCCCAUUACCCUUCUCAAUAGAUCCCAGUGACUCCCUAUAAUCUCUAGGAUCAAAUAUAAACUCUUCUGUUUUGCAUUUAAAGCCCUUCACAAUCUGACCUAUUACUACCGUUCAAGUCUUCUUAUGCCUCUACAUUUCGGGCUCCAGCUAUGCUGACUUACUUGGCUGUUUUCCCCAUCUGACACUCCUCACCUCUACUUCCUGGCUUUCUUGGCUUCCUUCAAAACUCGGCUCAAAUCCUACCUUCUGCAAGAGUCCUUUCCUGGUCCUCCCCACUGCUAAUGCCUUUCUUCCAAAAUUAUCUUCCAUCUACACCAUCUACAUCUUGUACAUACAUAGUUAUUUGCAGGCUGUCUCCCCAAUUUGGGGAGGAACAAUGUUUUUGACUUUAUUGGAAUUCCCAAUGCUUAUUUUAGUGCCUGGCAUGCAGUAAAGUGCUUAAUAAAUGCUUUUUGACCAACUGACUGA